UCGUUACAGCCGCGAAAAAAUGUUUGUGUUUUUUUAACUGGCGCCUGGGCAUUGGGUUAGUUUUAUUAACUGCUACCCGAGUAAAAGUCUUUAAGUACGCUAAGUUUUUAUAUAAAUAUGUAUAUAUAUAAUUGGCGUUGUUUUAAAGGGAAGGACGAAAGGAUAUUUACGUUUGUUAGCCAAGUAGGUAUUUUUCCCAGCCCCUCUUCCUAUUUGUGGCGUACGUCUGUAUGUUGUUUCACAAAUGGUGGGACCUACAGUUUUAAGUUCAUGACAGAAAUACAGUCGGAGGUUUGCCAUUGCCAGCCGAGGGGCGACCGCUAUUAGAACAAAAUUUUUCUUCAUUUUGGUAUUUCACGGAGAUUUGACGCUACGUUCUUCGAAUUCCGAAUGACAGUCACGCACCAACCCAUUCGGCUACGGCGGCCGUCAGUUUAGUCUUCUGAAAAUAAAAUAAAAAACAAGUAAGAACCUGCGGCUUCCGAGUGAAAAUAUAAUUAUACGCGAAAAUAAAAUUACGCUAAAAAGUCCUGAAAACUCCAAGUAAGGACUCGCGAAAAAAUUAUUACGUGAAAAAAGUGCGCUUCGAUAUAUUUCUGAAAUAUAAAGUAAGGAAUUGUUAUAUGCCGUAAGCAUUUCAGACAAUAUUCAAAAAAAGGAUACGCGAAUGGAAAAAUAGCCCGCGAUUAUAGUGGAGAGGCUCCAUAGUAGAUUAUGGCAAACCGGGGGUACAACGUACCAGCCUACACAAUAUAAUAAAAAAACAGUUAUAAAAUCAAUAUAACUAAAGCCAAUAAGCUUGUACAACCAAUAGCUAAACAAAAUAGAGCGACUCACCACAAUUAAAAAAAAGGACAGCAAAAGUCAAAACAAUUAGCAAAGGGGGAAAAAUUUAUAAAAUUUCUAAAAAUAGAAAUACUUUAUGUAGACACCGAAAAGGGAAAAAAUCAAAACAGAUAGUCACAAUCGUUAAAUUUUUGGCACUCAAACGGGCAUAUUGAUGCGGUCGAUCGGGUGAAAAGAAGAGGAAGGGCGAACAGCUGUAACAAGUUCGAGACACGAGAUACGAUCUUUGCUCGUAUACAAACAAAGAACUCGACACGAAGUACAUGCGUCGAUUUGUCUGUGCCUAAGCACUGAGCAAGCAUACGAUAAACUUAUGAAAUUUGGCGUCGUCCAGUCCAUAUUCCAAAUAGUAUUAUAUAAAAUAGUAAUACUUUCAUAGGCGCAGAAGCAGCCUUCUAAAAUAGUCUUUAAUACAACAAAAAAUAUUUCACUCAUAAAAGCAAACGCUUAUUUCUCAAAGUAAGAAUCGACCAUUCAUAAAACGAGCCCACCACAUCUUCCCUCACGCGUGUGAGCUGUCCAUAAGCCAGUUUUCUGGAGGAAGACAAAUACCCUAUGAUCAAAAAGUACCGGGAAUAUGAUGAUGACUGUUUUCUUCGAUUGCCAAGGCGUAGUGCACCAUGAGUAUCUUCCAUCGGGCCAGACAAUCAAUAAAGACUAUUAUUAAUCCGUUUUGAAGCAUUUUAGAGAUGCUGUACGUCUCAAACGGGAGAAAUGUGGGCAAACAAUUCUUGAAUUUUGCAUGAUGAUAACGCACCGUCGCACCGAGCCCAAAUUGUGCUGGAUUAUUUGACCGAACACCAAGUAAAUACCAUCGUGAAAGUACCGUUUUCCUCUGAUAUGGCCCCGUGCGACUUCUUUUUGUUUCCCCAGUUUAAGUUACCACUUCGUGGCAAGAGAUUUCAGUCGAUAGAGGAGAUCAAAGAAAACGCGACGAAGGAGCUGAAGGCCAUCCCUUCGUCGGCCUACCAGGGGUGCAUGCAGG